GGGUUGUGAGGUUAAGCGACUAAGCGUACACGGUGGAUGCCCUGGCAGUCAGAGGCGAUGAAGGGCGUGCUAAUCUGCGAUAAGCGCCGGUAAGGUGAUAUGAACCGUUAUAACCGGCGAUACCCGAAUGGGGAAACCCAGUGUGAUUCGUCACACUAUCAUUAACUGAAUCCAUAGGUUAAUGAGGCGAACCGGGGGAACUGAAACAUCUAAGUACCCCGAGGAAAAGAAAUCAACCGAGAUUCCCCCAGUAGCGGCGAGCGAACGGGGAGGAGCCCAGAGCCUGAAUCAGCAUGUGUGUUAGUGGAAGCGUCUGGAAAGGCGCGCGAUACAGGGUGACAGCCCCGUACACAAAAGCGCAUGUGCUGUGAGCUCGAUGAGUAGGGCGGGACACGUGGUAUCCUGUCUGAAUAUGGGGGGACCAUCCUCCAAGGCUAAAUACUCCUGACUGACCGAUAGUGAACCAGUACCGUGAGGGAAAGGCGAAAAGAACCCCGGCGAGGGGAGUGAAAAAGAACCUGAAACCGUGUACGUACAAGCAGUGGGAGCCCCACCACCAAAGCAUUCUCUGGUGUUGAAGGCCCUGCAAAGCAGCAUCGCGGUGGCGGAGCGUCGUUUGCGACGCCCAACACACAAAACAAGCGGUGAAUGCUUUGGGGUGGGGUGACUGCGUACCUUUUGUAUAAUGGGUCAGCGACUUAUAUUCUGUAGCAAGGUUAACCGAAUAGGGGAGCCGGAGGGAAACCGAGUCUUAAUUGGGCGUUAAGUUGCAGGGUAUAGACCCGAAACCCGGUGAUCUAGCCAUGGGCAGGUUGAAGGUUGGGUAACACUAACUGGAGGACCGAACCGACUAAUGUUGAAAAAUUAGCGGAUGACCUGUGGCUGGGGGUGAAAGGCCAAUCAAACCGGGAGAUAGCUGGUUCUCCCCGAAAGCUAUUUAGGUAGCGCCUCGUGAAUUCAUCUCCGGGGGUAGAGCACUGUUUCGGCUAGGGGGCCAUCCCGGCUUACCAACCCGAUGCAAACUGCGAAUACCGGAGAAUGUUAUCACGGGAGACACACGGCGGGUGCUAACGUCCGUCGUGAAGAGGGAAACAACCCAGACCGCCAGCUAAGGUCCCAAAGUCAUGGUUAAGUGGGAAACGAUGUGGGAAGGCCCAGACAGCCAGGAUGUUGGCUUAGAAGCAGCCAUCAUUUAAAGAAAGCGUAAUAGCUCACUGGUCGAGUCGGCCUGCGCGGAAGAUGUAACGGGGCUAAACCAUGCACCGAAGCUGCGGCAGCGACGCUGAUGCGUUGUUGGGUAGGGGAGCGUUCUGUAAGCCUGCGAAGGUGACCUGUGAGGGUUGCUGGAGGUAUCAGAAGUGCGAAUGCUGACAUAAGUAACGAUAAAGCGGGUGAAAAGCCCGCUCGCCGGAAGACCAAGGGUUCCUGUCCAACGUUAAUCGGGGCAGGGUGAGUCGACCCCUAAGGCGAGGCCGAAAGGCGUAGUCGAUGGGAAACGGGUUAAUAUUCCCGUACUUGGUGUUACUGCGAAGGGGGGACGGAGAAGGCUAUGUUGGCCGGGCGACGGUUGUCCCGGUUUAAGCGUGUAGGUGUGUGUUCCAGGUAAAUCCGGUUCACUUUAACACUGAGGCGUGACGACGAGGCACUACGGUGCUGAAGCAACAAAUGCCCUGCUUCCAGGAAAAGCCUCUAAGCAUCAGGUAACACGAAAUCGUACCCCAAACCGACACAGGUGGUCAGGUAGAGAAUACCAAGGCGCUUGAGAGAACUCGGGUGAAGGAACUAGGCAAAAUGGUGCCGUAACUUCGGGAGAAGGCACGCUGACACGUAGGUGAAGUGAUUUACUCAUGGAGCUGAAGUCAGUCGAAGAUACCAGCUGGCUGCAACUGUUUAUUAAAAACACAGCACUGUGCAAACACGAAAGUGGACGUAUACGGUGUGACGCCUGCCCGGUGCCGGAAGGUUAAUUGAUGGGGUCAGCGUAAGCGAAGCUCCUGAUCGAAGCCCCGGUAAACGGCGGCCGUAACUAUAACGGUCCUAAGGUAGCGAAAUUCCUUGUCGGGUAAGUUCCGACCUGCACGAAUGGCGUAAUGAUGGCCAGGCUGUCUCCACCCGAGACUCAGUGAAAUUGAACUCGCUGUGAAGAUGCAGUGUACCCGCGGCAAGACGGAAAGACCCCGUGAACCUUUACUAUAGCUUGACACUGAACAUUGAGCCUUGAUGUGUAGGAUAGGUGGGAGGCUUUGAAGUGUGGACGCCAGUCUGCAUGGAGCCGACCUUGAAAUACCACCCUUUAAUGUUUGAUGUUCUAACGUGGACCCGUAAUCCGGGUUGCGGACAGUGUCUGGUGGGUAGUUUGACUGGGGCGGUCUCCUCCUAAAGAGUAACGGAGGAGCACGAAGGUUGGCUAAUCCUGGUCGGACAUCAGGAGGUUAGUGCAAUGGCAUAAGCCAGCUUGACUGCGAGCGUGACGGCGCGAGCAGGUGCGAAAGCAGGUCAUAGUGAUCCGGUGGUUCUGAAUGGAAGGGCCAUCGCUCAACGGAUAAAAGGUACUCCGGGGAUAACAGGCUGAUACCGCCCAAGAGUUCAUAUCGACGGCGGUGUUUGGCACCUCGAUGUCGGCUCAUCACAUCCUGGGGCUGAAGUAGGUCCCAAGGGUAUGGCUGUUCGCCAUUUAAAGUGGUACGCGAGCUGGGUUUAGAACGUCGUGAGACAGUUCGGUCCCUAUCUGCCGUGGGCGCUGGAGAACUGAGGGGGGCUGCUCCUAGUACGAGAGGACCGGAGUGGACGCAUCACUGGUGUUCGGGUUGUCAUGCCAAUGGCACUGCCCGGUAGCUAAAUGCGGAAGAGAUAAGUGCUGAAAGCAUCUAAGCACGAAACUUGCCCCGAGAUGAGUUCUCCCUGAGACUUUAGGUCUCCUGAAGGAACGUUGAAGACGACGACGUUGAUAGGCCGGGUGUGUAAGCGCAGCGAUGCGUUGAGCUAACCGGUACUAAUGAACCGUGAGGCUUAACCUUACAACGCCGAAG
rnacentral:rRNA from 1 species